rnacentral:lncRNA from 1 species
AUCUGCCUGCACAUUGGAGUCACCUGUGGAGUUUCAGAAACAUGCUAAUGCCUGGUCUUCAGCUUACACCAUAACAUCAGAAUCUGUGGAGAUAUGAAAACUAAGGCUUAGAAACAGUAAGCAGUGUGACCGAGGCCGUGAGCAUCUAGCAAGAGAUGGAGCUGGGAGGCCAAACAAGGGACCAGAAAAUAUGCAUGAUUAUUAAAAAUGAAACUCUGAACCAGAAGGAAAUCAAGUGUUGAGCCUGGCUCUGGACUUGAAGUGGUGUCCCGGGGUCUCCUUGAUAUUUAUUUCAGGGGAUAAUGCUAUAGAGUAAAAGAAAUUUCAUAUGGGACUCUGCUUAUUAAAUAUUUGAGUUUGGCUUGAGUGUCCAUUUCUGCUUUUCUCCUCCAGCCUGACCAGAUGUGCUCAGAAAAUUUGGUUCCCCCUGAAUAUGUACAUCUGUCAAAAUUCCUGUCCAUUUUAGCACGACUGCCAAGGGAGUGAACAAAGAGAGUUAGAGAUUAACUUCAAAGAACUUUGUUGGAGAGGAAUAAAG